GACGGGGGAUGCGAGCGUUAUCCGGAAUGAUUGGGCGUAAAGGGUCCGCAGGUGGCCCGGUCAGUCCGCUGUCAAAGCCUGGGGCUCAACCCUGGAGAGGCGGCGGAGACCACCGGGCUUGAGUCCGGUAGGGGCAGAGGGAAUUCCCGGUGGAGCGGUGAAAUGCGUAGAGAUCGGGAAGAACGCCAAGGGCGAAAGCGCUCUACUGGGCCAUAACUGACACUGAGGGACGAAAGCUAGGGGAGCGAAAGGG
rnacentral:rRNA from 1 species